AAAGCCUGGGCCUGUGGCCACGCCCUCCCACUGACCCCUCCCCUUCCCCCACCUUGCUGCUUUCAUCAGAGCUCAGGGCCCAGCCGCUGCAAGGAAGAGACAGUUUGACCUUCUGGUGGCAGGUUGCCCAUCACCAUACAUCUUUAUGACGUCCUGUCUCCACCGUCAUCGCCUGCGAAAUUGUCCUUGGAACCUGCUGGUGCCUUUCUGACUCUUCCCGGGGUUUCUGAAGGAGGGAGGCGGCCUUCGCACACCCAGAGCAGGACAGCUCGAGGAGACGUUUACAGGGUGUGAUUUACAGCGACGCGGGCAGAAGGGGGCCCACGAGGGUAACGUGGUUAUUCUGCGUGGACAGGGGCACAGCUGCUUCCACACUGAGCACCUGGAGCUGUCAAGGGAGAGCGCACCGUGUGGCUGUGAGAACCCAGUGGGUAAAGCUGCGGGCCCUGGGAGGCCUGACGCGUGGAAAGGCGCCCGGGAGCCAGCACCGUCACCGUCAUCGCUGCUGUGCCAUCUACAGGGGCCAGCCUUCCCUCGGUCCUGCCACGGGCAUCGCUGAAGUGAGGCCGUCCCCUCCCACCGUGCUCUCCCCCACAGACACCUCACCUAAGGGCCACAUCAGGCCAGCCGUGAGUACGAGUUCUGCCCCCCUGCCUGCAGGUGUGGCCUCGGACAGACUGCGCGAGCCCCAUUCUGCUGCUCGUCCGGCUGGACGGGAAGCACGGCCUCUCGGAGCGUCUGGUUCCUCAUCUGUGACAUGGGCGCGAUGACAGUCGUUACUCCCUAGGAUGGUUUUGAAAACGAAGUAGGACACGGGCUCGCCCUGGAACUUGCACGUAGCAAGGACGUGAAGCACACGCUCAGGGACCGUCGACGGGGCGUGCUGACUGGAAGUCCCAGCUCCUGCUUGAUGGUCCCACUUACUUUCUUACACACCCGCUUAAAGUGUGCCUUCGGGGGUGCCUGGGUGGCUCACGGGUUGAGCGUCUGGCUCUUGGUUUCAGCUCAGGUCACGACUCAGCUCUUGGGUUCGAGCCCCACAUCCGGCUCUGUGCUGACAGCCAGGAGCCUGCUUGGGAAUGUGUGUGUCUCUCUCUCUCCCUCUUCCUCUGCUCCUCCCCUGCUCGUGUGCUCUCUCUCUUUGUCUCUCUGAAAAUAAAUAAACAUUAAAAAUAAAGUGUGCAUUCAGUGGCG
rnacentral:lncRNA from 1 species